rnacentral:rRNA from 1 species
UACGUAGGGUGCGAGCGUUAAUCGGAAUUACUGGGCGUAAAGCGUGCGCAGGCGGUUCGUUAAGUCAGAUGUGAAAGCCCCGGGCUCAACCUGGGAACUGCAUUCGAUACUGCCGUGCUUGAGGACUGGAGAGGAGACUGGAAUUUACGGUGUAGCGGUGAAAUGCGUAGAUAUCGUAAGGAAGACCAGUGGCGAAGGCGGGUCUCUGGACAGUUCCUGACGCUGAGGCACGAAGGCCAGGGGAGCAAACGGG